rnacentral:rRNA from 1 species
UACGUAGGGUGCGAGCGUUAAUCGGAAUUACUGGGCGUAAAGGGUGCGCAGGUGGUUUUGUAAGUCAGAUGUGAAAUCCCCGGGCUUAACCUGGGAAUUGCGUUUGAAACUACAAGACUAGAGUGUGGCAGAGGGGGGUGGAAUUCCAUGUAUAGCAGUGAAAUGCGUAGAGAUAUGGAAGAACAUCGAUGGCGAAGGCAGCCCCCUGGGUUAACACUGACACUCAGGCACGAAAGCGUGGGGAGCAAACAGG